CAGAUCCCUAGUAAAGGUACGUCGAAUUGUAACUUUACCAGCUUCGCUUUGGUAUUGGAUUUGCUGGACGACGAUCACGCAGAUAUAUUACGUCGAUCAUGCUUAUGGCCAUUGUAUUCGUUGCGUGAUGUACAGUGGUCUGGGCAGCUGCUCGAUGCCCUGUUAUGUCGCUUGCUGAAGCCAGUUGACGGAGACGCCCUCCAUUUUGAUCUUGGGGGCAAGGUAGCCACGUUCUCCAUAUUUGAGUUUGCCCUCGUCACUCGACUGCGAUGUACGGACGAUGCAGAGGUGAGGGCCUAUGUUCUGAGGAACAGGAGGCUGUUGAAUGAAUAUUUUCAUGGACAGACGACGGUUACUCUAGCGCAGCUAGGAGAUGCAUUAAGGAGAUGUGAUCGGAUGUCUGAUAGGUUGAAGUUAGG
rnacentral:lncRNA from 1 species